UAGUGAGUAGUAUAGAGGAAGUACGGAGGAUUUUGAUUUCUCAGGUGCAGGUUCAAUUCCUGUCUUUCUAA
rnacentral:tRNA from 1 species